CCUGCCUCUGGUGCACCGGCUGAGCCGCCAGGCUCACAACCGGGUAGCCAAGCAGGGACGGGAUAAACGCUGAAGGCAUCUAAGCGUGAAGCCCCCUCCAAGAUGAGAUCUCCCAUUCUUUCAAAGAAGUAAGUCCCCUUGAAGACGACGAGGUAGAUAGGGCAGAGGUGGAAGUACAGUAAUGUAUGUAGCUGACUGUUACUAAUCGGACGAGGGCUUGACCAA
rnacentral:rRNA from 1 species